UACGAACUGUGCAAACGUUAUUCGGAUUCACUGGGCUUAAAGGGUGCGUAGGCGGCCGUGUAAGUAGGGUGUGAAAUCCCCCGGCUUAACCGGGGAACUGCGCCCUAAACUGUAUGGCUGGAGUGAGAUAGGGGUGUGUGGAACUUCCGGUGGAGCGGUGAAAUGUGUUGAUAUCGGAAGGAACGCCGGUGGCGAAAGCGACACACUGGGUCUCAACUGACGCUGAGGCACGAAAGCCAGGGGAGCGAACGGG
rnacentral:rRNA from 1 species